UUCAAUCUGUUCAAGAAAUGUAGUCACAUGGAUGUCCAUUAGACCUCGCAAUGUUACGAGCAAUUCAAUAUUGUGGUAGUUGGACAUUCCGUGAAAUACGAAUGGCCUCCAAAACACUUUGAAGUUUGGGUUACGAUAUCUACAUCCUGUAUCAUGCUUAAAUUGUAAAAAAAUAUUCGUGAAAUGUAGUAUAUACUGCUGAUGGAGCCUCAUUGCACAACUAUAAUGCUUUUGGUACAUUCAUGGGAUAUUCCAGGCUUUCCAAACUAUUCUGGAAUUAGGACCUUCAAGGUCUACAGGCUGUACUCUUGUUUCUGUUCACUCUAUCGGUAUAAUUCCUUCACGUUUGUGUCUGUUGCACCUCAUAAUAUUACGAGUAUCUCUAUGUGUUGCUAUUUGGGUGUCCACUGGCAUACAAAUAGACACAAUGUUCUGGCAGCACUGCAUAAGUGCCGGUUGCCACGAGAUAUGCGUUUGGUCGAUGAGGUAUUGGUAAGUGUCGUUUGACAGGUGUCAGAGUGACAGUAGAGAUGACAUGAGAAGGAGAGAGAAUCAGAUAGUUGUCAAAGGUAUGAAGUAAAUAAAAACAAAAUAGGAAGAAUUGAAUCAGUUUGAAGAUACCAUUUUGCGAUUGUGGAUAAUCGGUAUAUUAAUAAAAGUAGAAUUUGAGGAUAGUUGUUUGGUGAUUAAAAAGGAAGUGGAGAUAGAGAAAGGUGCGCGAGUGAUUUGUAGACGAGAGGUUUGGUUAAACGAUCACAAGCAAACAUAGUAAGUAGCAAAACUUAUGAGUAAUUAGAUAGCAUAGUAAGAAACUGUAAUCCAUAGUAUUCUUCGGACCACGGGGACAAAUUUGGAGAUUUGCUUGAAAUUGAGGCCCGACGGGACAAGACAUUGGACAGCAGACUAAGGAAUCAGAUAUCGACGCACGACGAGGACGAGACUUUGCACAGUGGUCCAAAUUUGAGUAUUUCGAGGACAAAAUUCGUAAGUUAGAUUAUUUCAUAUAACAAAUUGAUAUGAACUCAAAUACAAAUGUAAUAAUUUAUUAGGUGGCUACGUUGCCUGUAAAGGAAGGUAGGAGGGCAGCCAAUAGAGGAGAAAAUCAAACUAAAAUUGUAAGUUGUACAAAAUUAUAACAAUUGAAAACUGAUCUAUUUCUAACGAAAAUUGUGAAUGUUUAUUUCGAAUUACAGUUUGAUCUGCCACAAUAAAAGGCCGAUUCACAAAAA